CAUGCACAGAUCCUCCUGAGCUCCAAGUGCUCCAGUGCCAACAGGCUGCUCCUGGUGGAGUCGCUCACCCCUCGGCAGAGGUCCCUGUCCAGAGCUGCUGAUCUAGUUCUCAUUCCACUUACACAUCAUUUAGUUAACUAAGAGCACUGGGACCAUCUGGAGUCCAGUUGGACAAAAGGAAAAUCCCCAGGAAUGAGACUGAAGAGGAGCUACUCAGCCCUGUGGCAGCUGAAGAGCCUGCUCUCCAAAGCCCUCACCCCUGUCCCCAAGGAGCCAUAAAGCAGCCCCAGAGCCAGCCAGCAAGGCACAAGCAGGACACUCUGCUUCCACUACUUGGCUGACCCUGCAGGCUCUCAGUUAUCUUCAGGGAAUCAAGAGCUAGAAGCUGCUUGCUCUUUUAACAUUUCUGAGUUUCACAGUCAUCACACUAAUGAUUUUAUUGUAAACUACUUAACACAAUAAAAAUUUAAGGAAAGCUAAA